rnacentral:rRNA from 1 species
AAGGUAAAUAAGGGCACUAAUAGUGGAUGCCUUGACAAUCAAUACCGACGAAGGACGUAGAACUCUGCGAUAAGUCUUGGGGAGCUGAGAGCAAGCUUUGAUCCAGGAAUCUCCGAAUGGGGCAACCUAAUACGAGUCAUGUCGUAUUGCAAUUACUUGAACACAUAGAGUAAUUAGACGGGAACCAGCCGAACUGAAUCAUCUUAGUAGGUUGAGGAAAAGAGAAUAAACAAUGAUUCCGAAAGUAGUGGCGAGCGAAAUUGGAACAGCCUAAACCUUAACAUAACCAUACGGUUUAACGGCCAGAGUUAUGAAAGGGGUUGCGAAAUAAGAUAAUUUUUAUGCUGAGGUAUUGGAAAUCCGAUAUUUCAGUAUAAAAACCAACAUCGUUAAAUGAGUGGAUAAUGUUAUAAAACUUAGAUCAUAGCGGAAGUGUUUGAAUGGCACACCAAAGAAGGUGAGAGUCCUGUAUGCGAAAUGGUCUUAGACAUUAUAUAUCUUUUUUCAAUUAGGACGGGGCACGAGAAACCCUGUUUGAAUCCGGCAGGACCACCUGCCAAGGCU